rnacentral:rRNA from 1 species
CCUACGGGAGGCAGCAGUAGGGAAUCUUCCACAAUGGACGCAAGUCUGAUGGAGCAACGCCGCGUGAGUGAAGAAGGCUUUCGGGUCGUAAAACUCUGUUGUUGGAGAAGAAUGGUCGGCAGAGUAACUGUUGUCGGCGUGACGGUAUCCAACCAGAAAGCCACGGCUAACUACGUGCCAGCAGCCGCGGUAAUACGUAGGUGGCAAGCGUUAUCCGGAUUUAUUGGGCGUAAAGCGAGCGCAGGCGGUUUUUUAAGUCU